rnacentral:lncRNA from 1 species
CUUCUUUUCCUCAGUUCCUUUUGAAGUUGAAGUUUCUUAAUCUCAGUCAUUCUCAUUACCUAUCUCGGACUCCCGACUUUUCCAGACUUCCACAUCUGGAGAAGUUAAAACUCAAAGACUGCAGAAGUUUGGUUGAAGUUCAUCAUUCUAUUGGAUACCUUGAUAGACUUGUUUUGGUAAAUUUAAAAGAUUGCAAGCAACUUAGGAGGCUCCCGAGUAGCUUCUGGAAGUCGAAGUCUAUCGAGAUUCUUUACCUCUCAGGCUGCUCAAAAUUUGAUGAAUUGCCCGAGGACUUGGGAGAUUUGGAAUCCUUGACAAUUCUCAAUGCAGAAGACACUGUCAUAAGACAAGUACCAAGUACCAUAGUCAGAUGAAGAACCUCAAAGAUUUAUCACUUUGUGGCUGUAAAGGUUCAACUUCUGCAACAUUUCCUUCACGUUUGAGGUCAUGGUUUCUUCCAAGAAAAAUUCCCAAUCCAACCAACCUGUUGCCACCUUCCUUUCAUGUCACAUCAUUGUCGCUCAGGGAUUGCAAUUUAUCUGAUGAUGCGCUUCCUAGAGAUCUUGGGAGCUUACCCUCACUAACCAAUCUGGAAUUGGACUUUAACAGUUUUCAAAGUCUACCAGCUGGCUUGUGUAGUCUUUUGAGACUUAAAAUUCUAACGUUGGACGAUAACACAAGUCUACAAACAAUUCCAGCUUUACCUAGAAAUUUGGAUGUCUUGCGCGCUUCGAACUGCACAUCAUUGGAAAGAUUACCAGACAUAUCAGUAGCUUCACGUAUGCGUUUGCUGUAUAUUGCUAAUUGCCCCAAACUGAUUGAGGCUCCAGGAUUGGAUAAAUCAAGGUCCAUUUCACACAUUGACAUGGAAGGGUGCUACGAUAUCUCAAAUACUUUAAAAAAUAGCUUGCACAAGGUAUUCUUUCUCUGUCUCUCUUUACUUGUUAAACAUAUUUUUCUAUGUUGUUGUUAAAUAUAUAAAAUAAAAAUGGUACUCUUUGUGCAGGGAUGUAUUUCUGGUAUGGUACUUCCUGGAAAUGAGAUUCCUGCCUUGUUCAACUAUAAGAAUGAGGGUGCUUCAAUAUUGUUUAAACUACCUGAAUUCGACGGCAGGAACUUGAAUGGCAUGAACGUGUGCAUUGUUUGCUCAUCUCAUUUAGAGAAAGAAGAAACUAAACACAUUAGAAUCAAAUUGACUAAUUAUACUAAGGGUUUUACCAAGAAUUUUCGUGCUGUAGCAAUUAACUUGGUAAAAUCCUGCGAAGAUCACCUUUGGCAAGGCCAUAUAUCAAACAAUUUUUUCAAACUUGGUAGUGAAGAUGAAGUGGAACUUAUUGUAGACUGUAUGAACACAAUGACUGUGAAGAAGAAUGGAGUAUACUUGGUAUAUGAGCAAGAUGAGGCAAGGCUUAAAGCUAAGAGAGGUCUUGAUAGUGAUGAUGAGGCAGGAUCAAGCUGUGAUACUUCUAGCAAAAAGAUUGAGAAUUGAGACUAGUCCGCAGAACAUUGAGGAAAACAUGGAUGUGGCAUAGCUUCAGCCUUCAGGUUUUGGCGUUUUCAAUGCUGUCUCUGUUGAAGCUUUAGUUCAAGAUGAUAUUUUAUACAUUAUGCCUGUGUAAUAAAGGGUUUUUGGGACGCAUGGGAGAUUCUAGAAGUGUUAGAGUUACCAAAUAUGGAGUUGAAGGUGUUGGACUACUUUUAACGGGUACAUUGGAAACAGUAGUCCAAGUGUUGAGCUACCAAAAUUUAUUUUUUGGUAAAAUUUUCAACCCUAUUUUGAACAUCCAGUGUUUAAUUUAAAAUUUUAUCUUCAAUUAUCAGACUUAUAUAACAUCUAGGGUUUUCUCUCAAGUCGUUGUUUAAUUCACUUCCUUCAUAUUUUCUCCUUCCAAUCUAAUUUUUCUUAGUUCAGGCUGCCCACUUUUAUAAUUUUUGUUAUUUUUGUCACGUCUAUGGAACUAGCUAGUGGUAGAAGAGCUGUUUUUUACGUACAUGAUGCUCCUCUUUGCGACCAUAAACAUUGAAGAAUUUCUUGGUGAUCUCUGAUAUUCUUUGCGUUUUAUGCAUGGUGGUCUACAGGAGGAGAUAAAUAGUGUUAGCACUCUUUUAUCUUUUUUUGAGUAGUGAAUCUUCUAUCAAGUUUGGCUCACAGCGAAAAAAGAAAAAAGAAAUGCUAAAUUUUGAAAGAAAAGAAGACGUUUUGCACCAAAUACUUUUUUGAAAGUAUUUAAUUUAUAAAUACACGUAAUAUUUUUGUGUAGGACGUCCUACUGACUUUUUUAAAAUAGAUAUUGGAUAUAAAAAAAUUAUAAAUUAUAAUUUUUUUACCUGGUCAUAAAAACUACAACAAUGCUAAACAUACAAUAAUAUGAUCAUGUUCUGAUUAUGUCAUGUGUUAAUUACCAGUUUAAGAGUAUAUUUGUUUUUGCGAUUUAACUCGUUUAUAUAUGUGAUUCAACUUGAAUUUUAAACUGUUUUUCAACAAAAAAAAUAUUAAAUUAAUAUUUUUUUAUGUGUUUUUCAAUGAUUUUGAUGUACUAAUAUAAAAAUUUUAAAAAAUAUAAAUUAUUAUUAUUAUUUUUAUGUAUUUUUAAUUAAAAAACACUUUCAUAAAAAUAUUUUGCAUCACAUUAGCAAACACACACUAAGAUGAGAUUGAUUUUUAUAAACCAAAAAUAAUAAAAAAAAAUCUUAUGGUGAUUUUACAAAAUUUUGAGGACUGAAAUUUUAUAAUGAACCCAAAAUCAUAAAACUCGUAAUAUAAGACUCUCUUAUGUUUCUCUCUUCGCACAAAGCAUUAAAAUCUCCAAAUUAAUCAAAUAAAUUAUCAAAAUAUCAAUGCACUGUCAUUUAUCCACAUAGAAAACCUAAAGUAGUGGUAUAAACUAUAAAAUUUUUAUUCACAAUUAACAGGAAAUUGGGAUGUUAACUGACUUACAGAGAGUAAUUUUUUUUUUUCCAAAUCUGGUACUAACAAUACAUUAUUAAGUGGCAGGAUUUGAUUUUUCUGUGUGAUGGAGGAAUCUCCAAUACCAUGUAUUGAUAUAGAAGAACCGUCACCAAUAAGAACAAAGUCUGAACCAUAAUGAUUGCGAAUAUUUUUUAACAUACCUGGAUUACCUGUCAUGUGGUUGGAAACUCCUGUAUGAGAGAUCCAUUCCGUUUCAGUGACAGUAUUGUCCAAGGUGAGAGCAGCUAAAGCUUGUGGAAGGUCUCCGUGUUGAUUUGAUCGUUUAGGCACCCACCAGCAUAUCUUUGCAAUAUGACCUGCUACACCACAGUACUGAUAGGUUUCUUCUCGGUAUAGCUCAUGUUCUGCAGGAGUCAUGCGAUGCUCUCCAGAUGGAGGAGGUCGUUUCUGUUUUGGAUCUGAAGUGGGUCUGAGAGUGUAAGUAUGAGUUUUCUCUUUAGGUUGUUGUGCAUGGAAUCCUCUCCUAGUAGAUAUAAAGCUUUGUCUGCUGACAUGGUUUCCUGAAAAAUGAUGUUGAGGGCGCUGGUGUUUUUGCCCAUAGAAUGCCAGUUGAGGAGUGAAUGAAUUAUUUGUCUGAUUGGUGAACCAGUUUCUUCUUUGGUCUAGGCUCUGUAAUUGAGAGACCAACUCCGGGUAAGAAGGUCUUGGUGGUUUCAGCAUUGUGGUAGUGAAUGUUUCAUAUUGAGGGUCGAGACUUGUGAGGAGGCAAAAGAUUUUUUCUUUGUCUAAAAUUGGUUUCCCAAUAGCUGUAAGGUCAUCGCAUAGUCCUUUGAAGAUUCGAAUGUGUUCUCCAAUGGUUCUGUCAUCUUCUUUGCGAAAAUAGAUGACUUGUUGUUUGAGGGUGAAUUCUUGUUCUUGGGAGUCUUUUGCAUAUUCAUUUUUUAGAGCACUUCAGACAGUAAAGGUUGUAUCGAGGCCUACUGCAAGGCCUAAUGUCUGUUCUGAAAGAGUACCAAUCAACCAGCCAUGAAGAAGCCGAUUUGCUUUCCUCCAGACAAUGUAUUCUUCUGUUAGUCUUGGUGAAGAAUUUGUGGUGGUAGUAGAAUCUGGUACAAUAUAUUUGUUUGGGAUUGAGUCUUUAUUGAUGAGAUGAUCAACCAAGUCUUGAAUUUCUGCAAGAGCUAAGGCUUGUUCUCUCCAUAGUGGAUAAUUUGUGGGGAUGAGCUUGAGGAUAAUGAAAUUACCAACAUUGAGUGACAGAGUUGACAUGUUGUGUGGUUCUGUUAAGAUGUAUAUUCACACAGGCUCUGAUACCAAGCAGAAAUUUAGAGGAAAAAAAGAUGUUUCAAUGGAAGAAAGGUUUUCUCUGUUUCUUUGAAUUUUAACGUGAAUAUACAACUUACUAUUCUAUACGAGCUGCUGGUUUUUUUUUAUAACAUUACAAGUUGCUUAAUUUGGAUACAUUGACUUGCCUAAUCCUUAGCUGAUCUGUUUCCAUAACAAUCCAACGUCUCUUUCUGUUUCUGGUUUCUGUCAUAAACUUCAUUGCUGCUGCUGUUGAUUUAUUUCCAUAAUAAGCCAACGUCUCUUUCUGUUUGUGUUUUGUUACCAUGAGAGUUGGUUUGUUUCCAUGUUACUGGUGAUUCUAAUAACUAGCCAAAAAAUAACGAAAGCAACUAUCUAAUACCUUUCUUCACCCAACUUUCCUUCUUUUUUAUCUGUUUUCAGUUUAUUCUCAAUCAUCUUCCACUUAAACCUUCCAUUAGACGUAUUAUAUUGAUCAACUUGGUCUAUAUGCAAUAGUUUUGCAACCGUUGUAGUUGUACUCUCAAAUUUUUGCCUGAAAUACACGUUGUGAGGGUUAUUUGGGAAACUCAAGAUCUAGGCAUACUCUUCAAAGGUAGGGGUCAUAUCAACAUCCUCGAAGGUGAAACAUUUAUAGCUCGGAUCCUAGAAGUGUAUCAAAGCUUUAACUGUUGAAAUCUAAACGAGAAUCCUUAUUAAAUGAGCAAUUCUCCCAUUUUCUCAAACAGAUUCUCAUCUAUGUACCCCAGAAUUGACGCCAACUUCUUUAUGUUGUCUAUGGAGUAGUGUACUUUAGUUAUGUGCGGUAAUUUCUCAACCUUGAUUUUUGGCAAUCCCCUUCAACUAAUUGUAUCAUCUCGAAUCUUUCCCUAUAUUCCGAAAAGGUCAUGGUUUUAGCUAAGGUCCAAGGUAGAUCUUCCAUCGUGAGGAAGUCUCUACCUUAUCUAUGAUAUCCCACAUCGGAAGCGAGUGUCCAAAGCUAGGGCUUUAUGAGUAAUGUUGGUCGUUGACCUAUUGUACGCAUUUUGGGGUGUCGGGCUUAGAAGUGAGUUCACGUCACCAAGAACAAAACCAUGAGGGCGAAAGGCCUAAAGCAGACACUAUACAGCAGGUUGGGCUGAGCUAUUAUAUUUGGUGUUAGAGCCAAGGACGACUCAUCUUAAGGUGGGGGGAUUGUGAUAUCCCACAUCGCAAGCGAGCAUCUAGAGCCAGGGCUCUAUAAGUAGUGUUGGUCGCUGACCUGUUGUACGUGUUUUGAGAAGUUAGGCUCAAAAGUGGGCCCGCGUCACCAAGAACAAAACCGUGAGGGCAGAAGGCCUAAAGUGGACAAUAUACAGCAGGUUGGGCCAGGAUAUUACAUUAUCAGACUAAAUCCUAAUUAUUUUAAAGCCCAAAAUUUAGCCCACUUUGUUCACCAUUUGUGAUCUUCUUUAGUAUUGUUGGAUUUAUUUUGCCAAGAUGUUUCCAAUAGUACCUGUGAUGUUAUUAUCAGAGUUUUGAUGUGUUUCAACAAUGAAUUGACUAUGAAUAAUAAAUAAUUACAAACUUGAAAGGAGCAAAAUAUAAAAAAAAACAUGUUCAAAAAGAAGGAAAGAAAACACUAAUGCUUGGUUGAUAUUAAGUCCAAAUCAAAAAUCAAAUCUCCAAGAAUCAAGUCCUAAAACUCAUUUUAGACUGCAUUAAUUUUAGAUUCUCCUUAAAAACUUUAAAAGGAUGAAGAAUAAGCUUAUGUUCCGCAAGAACCAACACCAACACAGGGAGAACAGAGAGAACCAGAAAAGACAUUACCAGCCCUCAACCUUCAUUCAAUACCAUCACUACCUAUCCUUACACCACCACCAAUCAUUCACCAAAAUCAAACUAAAACCUCAAGCCAUAAACCAUCCCUUCUCCAACCCUUGAUUCAAUAGCCUUCACUGAAACAACUAGGCUUAACCCGAGAUCACUAUCACACCCAGACAUCGUGACAACCCAUUAAAAAUUAUCACUCAAUCGGAAAAAACAGAUAUCUGACAUCUUGUUCUUUGGGGAAAAAAGGUCUUGUUGAAGGAGUCAUCACUUAAUAUGAUAGUCACUAGGAACCUUAACUAAUUAACAGAGAUUCUAUGGUACGAGACUGGUUACAUGAAAGGAAAGAUACUAUCACCCCUUAAGCAUUCUAUCUAAGGCAGGCUGCAUUGCUGGUUUUGUCUAAAAUCACUAAGUGUUUGUGCUUUCCCCUUUCUUUUUUUCUUUUUUUAUUUCCUACCAUAUUCCUAAGUCUGGUGUUACUGAAUAAUCACUUAUGAAUAUUUCCAACUAUGAUGUUGGUAAAUAGUGCACAACUCAAAAUAUACGGUAUCCUAACUCUGGCGCCAAUGAAUAAACCCGUAAAAUUUAAAUUUUUUUUUAAAAACACUAUUUUUAUUUUAAUAUUUUUUUUUUAGCUGGAUCCAGCAGUCCAACCUAGUUACUAGCCCAAGCAGUAACCGGCUCCCCAAAUGUUGCAUGCAUGCGUGAAUAAUUCACGCGUGCAUGCAACGGUGUCAAGGCAAUUAAGUUUAAAGGGAUGAAAAAGGGGCUCACCUGGUGCAAGGGCUGGCGAGAAGAGUUUGUGCUGGAGUUGUUGUUGUUGCCGGUUGAAAGCUGGUGCUCGGCUGGAGAGGGGAACUUAACCAAUGCUACCCGCGGUUGAGAAGUUGAUUCUGCAGUUGUCUAUGGCUGGAGAAGAAGGUGCCGUUUUUUUCUGCUGGAAGGAAGAUCUUCCACCACUGUUACUGUGUUGCUGAAGACAACACUGCUACUGCUGGGAAGGGAAGAUUGCUGCUGAUUUCGGCUAGGAUGAUGAAGACUCCACUACUGCCGUGACUGGAAGUGACCAAGCCCUACUGCUGCUACUGAGGGGGGUUUCUGUCUUGAGUUCAGACUUUGGAGAAUGAGAGCUGCUGACAGGGUGGUUUGAUCCCUUUUUUUUGCUGGUGGUGGUCGGUGAAGGGUCUUGUGGCCGAUGGCAGUGGUCCCAGGCCAGAAAGAAGGGAAAGAGGGACGGUAGGGAUACCAAGCUUCUUCUCUGUCCAGAUCCCAGGAGGCUGGGGAGCUCAAAGAAGAAGAAAAGGAGUAGGAAACUAAAGAACCGGGGGAGGGGGAGCCGCCUAGUCCAAAAAAUAGGUUUUCGGUCCCCCUCCUUUGUUUUGUGUCCUCCUGAUUUUUUUUAGGGCUCAUUGUAAUGGUCUCUUUUAGGGUUUCUUGUAGUGGUUUCUUUUGUUCUCUUUUUGCAUACACUAGACCUGUAUUUAUAUUUACAGUGGAAGAGUUUCAUUACUCGUGAAAAACAAAGCCUCAAUUAAAAUUGUUUUUUUUUUAAUUUGAAUUUUAUUAAAAAUUAAAUUGAAAAGUAGAUAAUUAUUAUUAUCUUGAAGAUAAAAAUAAGAUGACAAAAGUACAUUGUAGUUCAUAAUGUUCAUGCAGGCUAUUAAAUUAUAUUUUUCAUCAAAAUAAAUUUAUGAUAUUUUAAUUUUACAUUAUAAAUCUUGAAAUUAAAGUAAAAGCUAAUUGACAAAAAUUUGGAUUACAACAAUCACCCUACCCUAGACAUCAUCCCCAAAUCAACUCGGUAGCCUCUCAAUCAGCCUGGAGACGAACAUCAACCUCUAGAAUUCCACAAAAACCAAUAUCAGCCUUCAUCCCCAUCGAAAAACCAGAGCCUUAAUAUGUUUAUAUUUUUCUUUUCAAUCACCAGAGAUUAAAUAGACUUCCAUAUAUGUUCUUUGGAGAUUAGUAUUCGGCAACUUUUAUAUCUAGGUUAAUGUAGGUUUUCAAAUCUGGUCUCUUUUUUUUUUUUUUUAUCAUGCUUAAAGCAUCAGGAGAUUAAUUAGGUUUUUCUAGCAACCGGAAUGUCAUGGUGUCACUCUCUCCUCUUCCUUUGGGCUCAUUAAUUUUAGAUGGCCCUUCUUUUGGCAUGGAAUCAUGAAUAAUUAUUGACCAUCUUGCUUAAUCAUUUCUGGAUGUGAUUAAAUUGCAUCCGUAUGGUCUAUGAUUGUAAUAAAGUAAAGAUCUACCAUAAAUUGCAUCCGUAUGGUAUAUGGUCAAUUAAUUAAAUAUUGAAAGAAAUUUUUUAUAAAAAAAUCAAUUAUACAAAAAAAGUCAAAAAUCUCAUUACCCCUCAUUUAACAAGAUAAUUAUAUAAAAAUCAUUGUAAAAAUAUAAAAUUGGCCAUUGACUCUAGCUUCAAUUUUUUUUAUUCCGCCAGUAUUUUGAUUGAUUCUAUGUAUAAUUAAAAUAAAAAAAAAUUAUUUGUUUCUAAUCAAUUGGGCAACACUAUGAUUUUUUAUUUUAUUGAUUGAGUGAUAAAAAUAUUAAAAUAGAAUAACUAAAAUGAUUUUCAAAGGGAUUUGGAUUGUGUUCUAUAUAUAUCUCUCUGCAAGUUGCCAUCUUUGUGGCCGAGCACUAAACCCAGAACUCCCUCCUCCAUCUUCAGCCUCCUCUCAAACUAGCAGACUCCAUCUCCUCUCAAACAAACAAUCCAAAGAAAUAUAAAAAAUAAAAAAAUAAAGAAGCUAGGGUUAUACAGAAUAAUACAAAUUAAAUACUUAAGAAAAUUUAGUUUAUCCAAAAUAUAUAUAUAAAAAACCUAUAUAUAAAAUAAACUAAUAAAAUAAAAUAAAAAUUAAUUUACUCUUAAUAAAUAAUAAAACAAAAUAAUUCCAUAUUACCCAUCAUGAUAUCUUUUAAAUUAACACGUCCUGGUGUUUUCUUGAUGCAAAACAUGAGGCAAGGGAGGUCAGUCCAUCAAACAGAAACUCAAUAAGACAAAAGUACCUUUGACCUUAACACUUCAGUCUCCAUCAAGGCAACCCAUCCCAGUCAUCAAUAAUCAAAGAAGAUACAAAAACAAAACCCAAUAAAACAUUCACUAUGAACAGUAAGAAAUUGAAAACCUGAAAGAAGCAAAAUAAAGAGAGAAAAAAAGAAUACUUCUUCACCAUCACCGUACAAUGUUCGCAAAGAAAAUCGCAAAGAAAUCGUUUUUGUAAGAAAAUUUAAUUUUUUUUUGUUAAAAUUUAAUAUAGUUUAUACGUUUUGGAUCGUUUUGAUGUGCUGGUAUCAAAAAUAAUUUUUUAAAAAUAAAAAAACAUCAUUAACAUGCAUUUUGGUACAAAAAAUUAUUUAAAAAGCAACCGUUACCACAUUACCAAGCAUCCUCUUAAGCGAUGGAGUAGUACUUUAAUAGAUCUAUUGCCUCCUUUUUUUUUCCCUCUAAAAAAUAUAAAAAAGACACGUUAAAAAACAAAGAAAAAAAAAGAAAAGAAAAAACUAAUUCUUUCUUGAUAUUAAAGAAGCAAUUAGUCCCCACAAACCAAAAGCUAUGAUCUACUUUAUUUUUUAAAAUACAGAGCGCUCCAAUAAUUUGUCAAAAUUACGUGAGAAAAAAAAGUCUUUUCAAUGAAUUUAGUUAUUUUAUUAUAGCUGUUAUUUUUAUUUAAUUGUUUUGUGUUAAAAACAAUGAAAAUCAUAAAUAAAUAAAAUACAAAAUUAAAUAAAAUAUAUAAAAAAAAUAAAAAAAAUAUAGUUGGGGUUAAAAUAGAACUACUAAUUUAGCAUUACAAGCAAAAAUAAAGUUUGGAAAUUUUUAUAUCAUAAAUAAGGAUUUGAUUGAAGAGAAAUUAAAGAAAAAAAGACUUAAUCAGACCUUAAUUUGGCUAAUAUUAGAAAAAUUAAAGAUCAAAGGCUAAAAAAUAUUCAAUUAUAUAAAAUAAUUCAAAACAAAAAAAAAUAUGCAUUUUUUUUAAAAAAAUUAUGCCCAGUCAAAUAACAAAUUACCCCUCCGUUAACAUGAUAAUAAUGUAAAAACUACUAUAAAAAUAUCAAAGGUUAAAAAAAUUAAAUUAUACAAAAAGAUUCAUAACAAAAAAAUAUGCAUUUUUUUUUAAAAAAAAUUAUGUCUAGCCAACUAUCAAAUUACUCCUCAUUUGACAUGAUAAUUAUGUAAAAACUACAGUAAAAAUACAAAAUUGGUUCUUGACUCUAGCUUUAUUUUUUUUAUUUAAGGAUUAUUUUGAUAGUUUCUCUAUAUAAUUAAAAUAAAAUAAAAAUUAUUUAUUUCCAAUCAAUUUGGCAACAUUGUAAUUUUUUAUUUUAUUUUUUUAUAUGUGGUCAAAUACUAAAUUAGCUUAUAUAAAAACCAUUAUAAAAAUAUAAAAUGGACCAUUGACUCUAAUUUUAUUUUUUUAUAUAAUAUAAUUAAAUUAUAAAAAUUUACUUGUUUCCAAUCAAUUUAGUAAUCAGCACUGUAAAAUGUUUUUUCAAUUCCCCUGUAACGUAUUUAAAUUUUUUGAUUGAGUGACAAAAAUAUUAAAAUAGUAUUUUCACUCACAUGACUGAAAUGUUUUUCAAAAGGAUUUAGUGGCAAAGAAUAUAUAUAUAACUAGUGUUAUAUAUAUAUAUAUAUAUAUAUAUAUAUAUAUAUAUAUAUAUAUAUAUAUGCAAGUUGCCAUCUUUGUGGCCGACAUUGACAAAGAAUAUAUGUUGUUUAUUAACAAGAUAACUCAAGAGGUUUUUCUCAAACAAUAGAAAAACAUAUUACAAGCUGCACGCGGCACAUGCACCUCUCUUGAAAAAACAAUAAAAAAAAAAAUCCCACCAUAUAAAAUAAAAUAAUAAAAUAAUGAAUUAGCAUGGAUUUAUGGCUGGCCGCGUUUGUUUUGCAACUAUUGUUGUGUUUGCUGUACAAGGCAGUAAUAUGUUUGAUAAUAAAUUAAAUUAUAUUUUAUAUUAUGGAACUCAUGAAAAAAUUGAACUUGAAAUAUAGUUUUUAAGAAGCAGUUUUUAUAUAUUUUUUUAUCAAGUUCUGUAAAAUUUUAUUUAUUUUUGUGUUUUAAAAAUACUUUUGAAAAAAUUAAAUUUUUUUUAUUUUUUUUACUUCAAAUUAAUAACUUUUUGUGUUUUUAGUUUUUUUUAUGCGAUGAUAUCAAAAAUUAUUUUUAAAAAAUAAAAAAAAUUAUUUUGAUGAAUUUCCAAGUAAAAAGUACUUUGAAAAGCAACUGCAACCACACCUCCAAACACAAUUGGUACUAAACAUCAACUAAUUAUAACCGGAGUUUCAUUUUAGUACUGAAUAAAACUAAUUAGAUCUGCUUAAUUUUAUUAGGACUUUUUAAUCAUUACAAUUGUAAAUUCAAUAUUGACCAAUUAAUUUAAAUAUUGACUAAUAAAACUAAUUGACUCGAAUUAAUUUAAUUUUUUAUUUUAUAAAAAAUAAAAAAAAACAUAUUUGUUUUAAAGAAAAACCAACAUAUUUUAACUAGGUUUUUUUAAAAGUGAAUACUUUAGUUUAUGUUAUGCUAUCUGCAAAUGAUGACCACACGCACACCACAACAAAUAAAAUAUACACUCCCAAGUCCCAACAAUCCGGCUUUCUUCAUGGCCAUUUUUUUUUUAAGAGAGGUACACGCGACGCAUGCGCCGCGCCUCGUUACAUGCAGAUGACUUUUGGGUUUUUUAAAAAGUUGGUGUAGUUUUAUGAAUGUUAUAGUUUUUAAAAAUAUUUUUUUAUUUUUUAAAAUUUAUUUAAAAAUGAUCUAAGAUGUAAAAAAUUUAAUUUAAAAUAAAAAAAUUAUUUUUUAAAAACACACUUUUAAAAUAUAAAAAUAAACCAGAAUUCAUGAUUAAAUUUGAUCAAGUAAUUAAUGCAAAAGAAGGGACAUGUAUGCAUUUCGAGAAAAAAAAAUCAAAAUCCUUAAAUUUACUAUUAUAUUUAUGUCAAUUAUUUAUUUCAAUCAUUUUUUUGUUAAUUUGGUUAAAUAAUUCUUAUGUUCUUUAAAUGUGUUCAUUUAAAACUUGUAUUUUCUAGUUUUCCCAAAUAAAUUAAUAACUAAUUUUGAUCAUGUCUUGAUGUUAAAUUAAGUUAAAAUAUUUUUUUAAAAAGAAACAUAAGGAAAACUCUAUCUAAUUCCUACACCAAGAUUUGGUAAAACUUAUCAAUCACUUAUUUUAUUUUAACUUUGAAUUUUUUAAUUUGAAUAAAAAAUAACAUAUAAGAUAAUAUUUUAAUAUUUUAAAAAAUAAAAUUAAUUUUUGGGAUGAAAACAAUUAAGAAAAGAAAGGAUAAAUUAAAAAGAAUUGAGAUAGGUUGCCCUAGGCCUAGGUAGCGGAACACCUCGGUUAGUGAGUUAGCUCAUAAGUAUGUAUUUGGACCAUGGAAGCUUGACCCAAGCACUUAAAAAAAAAAAAAAAAAAGGGUAGAUGAGGACAAUGCAUCGCUCAUUCUUUUUAAUAUAUAUAUAUAUAUAUAUAUAUAUUAAUUAUUAUUCUAUUUAUUGAAGAUAUAAUUACACGCUUUCACAUGCAUAAAUCUUGCUCCCUGCAUUAAUAUUCUCUGGAAAAAAAAAAAGAGAGACAACUCGUAUAUAUACGCAACUUUUCAUUGGUCAUCGCAGGACGAGGGAGAAUUAAUCCUUCCAUAACUUUUGCUAUCAACAAGCACAGUGGGCAUCACAGUACGAAAAAGAUCCUUUUCUUAUCGCGAUAGCUAGGUCUUUGGCUGUCUCCCUCGGUAAUUAAAGUGUCCCUCGCAUUAAUUUUGGAGUCAUUAAUUUUGUACCAUUUCUCGUUCUUUCUCUCGCCACCAUAGCUUUCAUGUUACAAUGACAUCUGCGUCUUCAUCUUCACAUUCAUUUUCAAAACCGUGGAUUUAUGACGUGUUUUUGAGUUUUAGAGGCGAGGACACGCGCAAAAAUUUCACCGAUCAUCUCUACUUUGCCUUCAAAGAUGCUGGAAUCAACACAUUUAGAGACGACAAUGAGCUCCGAAGGGGUGAAGAUAUUUCGACGGAGCUAUUACAAGCUAUCCAAAAGUCUAGGAUUUCAGUCAUUGUGUUCUCAAGAAAUUAUGCAAAUUCAAGAUGGUGUCUUGAGGAACUAGUGAAGAUCAUGGAGUGUAGGAGAAGUUGUAGGCAACUUGUUUUUCCUAUAUUCUAUGAUGUUGAUCCAUCUGAUGUAAGGAAACAGACUGGAAGUUUUGCAGAGGCCUUUGCUGGACAUGAAGAAAGGUUUGUGCUCCAGACAGACAAGGGCAAGGUGGCGACAUGGAGGAUGGCUUUGACUGAAGCUGCAAAUUUGUCUGGAUGGGAUUUGAGGAAUGUUGCGGAUGGGUAAGCACUCAUAAAAUUAACCAUCCUUGCUAAUUUAAUGGACUUUAUAAUUUGAAUUAAUAGUAAUUCUUACGUUAUCAAUGAUAUGAUCCAAGUGAUAAAAUUCUCAAAUUUAAACCUUUUGUAUAUAUUAAUAAUAAUAAUAAAAAUUUUGAACCAUUUAGAUUGUUUUUUUUUUCCUACCAUCCGAAAUCGUAUGAUUGGGGCAGGCAUACAAAGCUAUUAAGGAUGAAGAUGUUAUUAUUAAAAAAAAAGUAUAAUUUUGGUAGAAGAACUAACAACUUGCAUGUACAAAAAUGCUAUAAAUUUUCAAAACAAUUUCAAUGAAACAAAAAAAGUUGCAAAUGGCAAUGAUACCAAAGGAGUCCUUAACGUGCGUGAGAAAGAGGUUUUUUUUAUUUUUUUGAUUUUUUUUCUUGUGAUAGGAGAAAGAGGCUAGUUGAAUUCCAAUAUACAGAGAAAAAGUAAUUAAUAACACUAAUUUUAAUCAUAAAAAUAAUUGUUCAGGGUAUCUUUUGUUAAUGAGAGUUUCAACUAGGUUAUUUUUUAUUUUCUUUAUUUUGGUUUGAGUUAAUUUUGGAUUUUUUAGUUAUUUUUAGGUUGUUUGAGAUCAUAAAUAAAUUUAGGGUGUUUUUUAGGUUUUUUGAAUAAAAAAUAAGGUUUUUGUUUUUUACAAAAAAAAGAGAUAAAGCUCUAUUUUUCUUAUAAUCCUCUAGUUACUGAAUUUUUCAAACAGCAAAUGACAUGUUAUCUAUUUAAUUUUUUUAAAAAAUAGAUAACAAGUCAUUCACCCCUUAAAUAAAUAAAUAAAUAAAUAAAAACAAGCUCUGUUGUGUGGGUUGGGUUUUUUUUAGAUGGCCCAAGUAUGUAGGUUUACAAUGCUUGUUUUGGACUUUUUUUUAAAAAAACAAAUUAUAUUAGCUAAAAGAUAAAUUUAAUAAAAAAAUUAUUAAAUCUAGUUGAAACCAUAAUCGAAGUAAUAGGUUUGACAGAUUAAUCUAAAAAAUCUGAGCUGAUCUAAUAUUUUGCUAUUUGAAUAAUAUUUUAAAAAAUUAUGUCAGAUUGAACUUUUUUAAAACAUUUGGUUUGUUUUGAGUUUUUCUUUGUGAAGUAUUUUUUUCUAGGAUAUAUUUAUUCAAAUUUGAUUUUAACAUGAUUGUAACAGUGUGAUUAGAUCGUGAAACUCAAAUUAAUUAAAUAUAUUGUAAUCUUAAUUUUUUUUUAAAAAAAGAUAAGCGAUACUAAAAUUUUUUUAAGUAUUUUUUAAUUGAUUUUCAUGAUGUGUUUUGUUUUGAUUUUUAUAGGAUUAAUUAUUUUUAAUUUGGUUUUAGGAUUAAUUCGUUUUAAUUUUUAUAUUAUACAAUUUUUCAUCAUCUUGAUUUUUUUAAAUCUAAACCACACUAUUACGGAUUGUACCUUUACUUGGGAAAUUUCUACUGAUUUUUGACAAAGGGCAAAAGAAAAAACAGAGAUUGUGAUAUGUGAUCAUUCACUUAAUUAAUUAAUAACUUUAGAUGGGAAGAAAAUAAUUAAUAAAAAAAUUUCUUUUGUAGAAAUCACAUUAUUCUAAGAAGUUUGUCGACUAUUAACCAUUUGAUGAUACUACCAUCCCGUAGCGGCUAAGAGUUAAUUAAUUAAAAAAAAAUUGUUUUCGUAGAAAUCACAUUAUCUUAAGAAGUAUGUUGAUUAUUAAUUAACUAUUAACCAUUUCCUUCUAAAAUUUUAGUUUGGUCGCUCAUAUUUUUAUAUUUAUGUUAAUAGGUAAUUCAUCCUCUUUAGUUAUUAGAAAUUUAAAUUUUAGUUAUUAAAAAUUUAAUUUUAAUAUCAAAUUUAAUUUUUUAAUUUUUUUCUUGUGAAAGAAGAGAGAAGCUAGCUGAAUUCCGAUGUAGAGAGAGAAAAUCUUCAUUAAUACUAAUUUUGAUAAUAAAAAUAGUUGAUUUUAUCAAUAAGUUUCAUUUGAUAAUGAGAGUUUCAUCUAGAUAUUUUUUUUCAUUCACCUUUCCUAAGAAGGUAGAUUUACCCGUGAAAAGAUUUUUAGGUUUGAGUUGAUUUUCAUGUUUUUGAGCUGCUUUUGGGUUGUUUAAGGCAAUAAAUAGAUUUAGAAUGUUUUCUAAGUAUUUUGGGUAAAAAAUAUAGUUUUAUGCAAACAAAAAAUAGCAUAACCCUCAUUUUUCCUGUAACUCUCUAGUGAAUUUUGCGAACAUUAAAUAACGUGUAAUCUGCUUAUUUUUUUUGAAAAAAGAUGAAUGACAGGUCGUUUGCCCCUUUAAAAUAAAAUAAAAACAAGACAAGUUGGUCUAUCAUGUCCUCGCAUCUACCUCUCUUUAGACUUUUUUUUAAUAAAAAAAAAUUAUAUUAGGUAAAAAAUUAAUUUAAUAAAACAAAUAUUAAAUCUAGUUGAGACUAUGACCCAACUCAUAAGUUUGACAAAUUAAUCUAAAAUAAUUAGGUUUAUCCAUUAUUUUAUCAUCAGAAUAAUUUUUUAAAAAAAUUAUUUUAGAUUGAAUUGAAAAAAAAACAUUUGGUUUAUUUUGAAUUUGUUAUUGUGAUGGAUUUUUUUUUGUGGGAUUUAUUUGUUCAAAUUUGACUUCUACAUAAUUGUCAUAGUGUGAUUAGAAGGUAAAACUCGGGUUCAUUAAAUAUAUUAUUAUCUAAUUGUUUUCUAAAAAUAAGCGAUAUGAGGAGUUUUUUAAUGUAAGCAUUUUUUUAAAUUGAUUUUUUUGGUUUUUGUAGGAUUAAUUAUUUUUUAUUUGGUUUUUGUAGGAUUUAUUGGGAUUUUUUCGAUAUGCAGCAUUUGUCAAUGUAUAAAUCACUUCAUUGGCUUGUGAGGAGUGAUCGAUCUUGAAAAUCUAACCUGCACUAUUCAAUUUGAAACCGAGCAAUUUGGAUCAUCAAUUGGAUCAUUUUUUGAAUCUUGGACCAAGAUUCAUGAAACCGAGCAAUUUGGAUCAUCAAUUGGAUCAUUUUUUGAAUCUCUUGGACCAAGAUUCAUGUUGCAAAUCCAAGUUGAUUUUUUCUCAAUUGAUGAUUUUUCAAAUCUGUUAUAUAAUUAACCUCAUAGUGGGUUUUGUUAUAAGAACGUGCCUUUUGAAAAGAGAGCUGGUAUCUAGAGCUUAUUUGUUGUUAGGCACUAAACUACUAGUCGAUUUGGUGUAUGGAUAUCAUCACUAUCCAAUUUAUUUUUAAAAAGAUUUCAAUAAAUAAAUAAUUUUAAUAAUUUAGGUAACGAUACAUACUGAGAAGAAGAACAUUAUCAGUAGAUAAUCCAGAGUUGAGUAACUAAAUGGUGAUCUAAGGAAGGAGAUGUUUUGCUUGGGGCUGGAUUAAUUUUCUUCAGGAAAACUACAAAUUAUAAAAUAUUUUGGAUUGUGCUUUACAUAAUACAUUCUAAUUGGCUGUUUUAUGCUUAAAGUCUCACUAUUUUGUUGACAAUUAUUUGCAGGCAUGAAGCAAAAUUUAUAAAGAAAAUUGUUGGGGAGAUUUUGAGAGAACUGAGUAGCACAUACUUGUUCGUAGCCUUCUAUCCAGUUGGGAUAAAUCCUCGUGUGCAACAAUUGAACUUUUUGUUAAAUGCUGGAUCAAGCGAGGUCUGCAUUGUAGGAAUAUAUGGAAUGGGAGGCAUAGGGAAAACAACCAUUGCCAAGGCCAUGUAUAAUGAGUUGUUUCAUAGUUUUGAUGGGAAAUGUUUUCUCGCCAAUGUUCGAGAAAUUUCACAGCAGCCAAAUGGUCAUGUCAAACUGCAAGAACAACUUCUUGUUGAUAUCCUGAAGACAGACAAGAUUAAGAUUGGCAAUGUUGACAGAGGAAUGAAUAUGAUAAAGGAAAGACUUCACAGUAGAAGAGUUCUUCUCAUACUCGAUGAUGUAGACAAAUUAGAUCAGUUACAAGCGAUAGCGGGGAGUCGAGAUUGGUUUGGUUCAGGAAGCAGAAUCAUUGUAACAACAAGAGAUAAGCAUGUUCUGACAGUUCUUGGAGCUGAUCGAGUAUACAUGGCCAGAGAAAUGAAUGACAUUGAAGCUUUGGAGCUCUUUAGUUGGCAUGCCUUUCGAACAAGCCAUCCCGUCGAAGAUUAUAAGGAGUUGUCAGAACAAAUUGUUGACUACUGUGGAAGAUUGCCACUAGCACUUGAAGUAAUAGGCUCUUUUCUAUUUGGUAGAAGUAUAGUUGAAUGGAAAAGUGCAUUGGAGAAACUGAGAAGAAUUCCUGAUGAUCAAAUUCAGAAAAAGCUCCAAAUAAGUUUUGAUGGCCUGAAUGAUGACACACAGAAAGAUAUAUUCCUCGAUAUAUCAUGUUUCUUUGUUGGGAUGGACAAGGAAUAUGUGUUACCAAUAUUAAAUGGCUGUGAUUUUUUUGCAGACAUUGGACUGAGUGUCCUCACUCAGAGGUGCCUUGUAUCUGUUAGUGAAAAGAACAAGCUAAUAAUGCAUGAUUUGCUUCGAGAUAUGGGGAGAGAAAUUGUUCGUGCGCAAUCACCGAACAAUCCAGGCAGGCGGAGUAGAUUAUGGAUUCGUGAAGAAGUUGGUGACAUUUUGAGAAGAAACAUGGUGAAUGCAUUCAAACUUAUCAUCAUAUAAAUUCAUGUUUUGAAAAAAUAUCUGAUCCUUACCUCUUAACGUGGUUUAUUGACAGGGAACUGAAGCAAUCCAAGGGAUGGCCAUAAACUUGCUGAAAGUGAAUGACCUGAAUGUGGAUGUAAAUGUGUUUUGCAAUCUGCAAAACCUAAGGCUGCUCCAGCUCAAUCAUGUAAAGCUUGGUGGAGGCUGUGACUAUCUUUUGAGAAAAUUAACCUGGCUCUGUUGGCAUGGAUUUCCACUCUCGUUCAUACCUGAUGGCCUCUAUGGGGAAAACCUUGUUGCUAUAGAUAUGCGAUACAGCAGCCUCAGACAGGUUAAGAAUUCUAAGGUACGCUGAAACUACCAAAUAUUUAUCUAAACCUUAGUAUGCUGUCACACAAUAACAAUUUCUUUCUAAAUCCCGAAUCUUGCUUGUUUUCCUCAGCUCCUUUGGAAGUUGAAGUUUCUUAAUCUCAGUCAUUCUCAUUACCUAUCUCGGACUCCGGACUUUUCCAGACUUCCACAUCUGGAGAAGUUAAAACUCAAAGACUGCAGAAGUUUGGUUGAAGUUCAUCAUUCUAUUGGAUACCUUGAUAGUCUUGUUUUGGUAAAUUUCAAAGAUUGCAAGCAACUUAUGAGGCUCCCGAGUAGCUUCUGGAAGUUGAAGUCUAUCGAGAUUCUUUACCUCUCAGGCUGCUCAAAAUUUGAUGAAUUGCCUGAGGACUUGGGAGAUUUGGAAUCCUUGACGGUUCUCCACGCAGAUGACACUGCCAUAAGACAAGUACCAAAUAACAUAGUCAGAUUGAAGAACCUCCAAGAUUUAUCACUUUGUGGCUGUAAAGGUUCAACUUCCGCAACAUUUCCUUCGCGUUUGAUGUCAUGGUUUCUGCCAAGAAAAAUUCCCAAUCCAACCAACCUGUUGCCACCUUCCUUUCAUGGCUUAGACAGACUCACAUCAUUAUCGCUCAGGGAUUGCAAUUUAUCUGAUGACGCGCUUCCUAGAGAUCUUGGUAGCUUACCCUCACUAACUAAUCUGGAAUUGGACCGUAACAGUUUUCAAAG